rnacentral:rRNA from 1 species
ACUCCUACGGGAGGCAGCAGUGGGAAUAUUGCACAAUGGGCGAAAGCCUGAUGCAGCAAUGCCGCGUGUGUGAAGAAGGCCUGCGGGUUGUAAAGCACUUUUAUCGGGAAAGAAAAACCAGGGCUAAUACCCUUGGUCUUGACGGUACCCGUUGAAUAAGCACCGGCUAACUCCGUGCCAGCACCGCGGUAAUACGGAGGGUGCAAGCGUUAUCCGGAUUCAUUGGGUUUAAAGGGUGCGUAGGCGGAACGGUAAGUCAGUGGUGAAAUCCUGCAGCUUAACUGUAGAACUGCCAUUGAUACUGUCGUUCUUGAGUGCGCUUGACGUGGGCGGAAUGUGCCGUGUAGCGGUGAAAUGCUUAGAUAUGGCACAGAACACCAAUUGCGAAGGCAGCUCACGAAAGCGAAACUGACGCUGAGGCACGAAAGCGUGGGGAGCAAACAGGAUUAGAUACCCUGGUAGGCUCUGC